rnacentral:rRNA from 1 species
AUUGAACGCUGGCGGCAGGCCUAACACAUGCAAGUCGAACGAGUGGCGGACGGGUGAGUAAUGUCUGGGAAACUGCCUGAUGGAGGGGGAUAACUUCUGGAAACGGUAGCUAAUCCCGCAUACCAUCGGAUGUGCCCAGAUGGGAUUGGCUAGUAGGUGGGGUAAAGGCUCCCCUAGGCGACGAUCCCUAGCUGGUCUGAGAGGAUGACCAGCAAAACUGGGACUGAGACACGGUCCAGACUCCUACGGGAGGCAGCAGUGGGGAAUAUUGCACAAUGGGCGCAAGCCUGAUGCAGCCAUGCCGCGUGUAUGAAGAAGGCCUUAGGGUUGUAAAGUACUUUCAGCGGGGAGGCGUUACCCGCAGAAGAAGCACCGGCUAACUCCGUGCCAGCAGCCGCGGUAAUAC